UACGGGGGGGGCAAGCGUUGUUCGGAAUUACUGGGCGUAAAGGGCUCGUAGGCGGCCAACUAAGUCGGACGUGAAAUCCCUCGGCUUAACCGGGGAGCUGCGUCCGAUACUGGAUGGCUUGAGAUUGGGAGAGGGAUGCGGAAUUCCAGGUGUAGCGGUGAAAUGCGUAGAUAUCUGGAGGAACACCGGUGGCGAAGGCGGCAUCCUGGACCAACACUGACGCUGAGGAGCGAAAGCCAGGGGAGCAAACGGG
rnacentral:rRNA from 1 species